rnacentral:rRNA from 1 species
AAUGGGCGAAAGCCUGACGCAGCGACGCCGCGUGAGGGACGACGGCCUUCGGGUUGUAAACCUCUUUCAGCAGGGACGAAGGGAAACUGACUGUACCUGCAGAAGAAGCACCGGCUAACUACGUGCCAGCAGCCGCGGUAAUACGUAGGGUGCAAGCGUUGUCCGGAUUUAUUGGGCGUAAAGAGCUCGUAGGCGGCCUGUCACGUCGGAUGUGAAAACCCGGGGCUCAACCCCGGGCCUGCAUUCGAUACGGGCAGGCUAGAGGAUGGCAGGGGAGACUGGAACUCCUGGUGUAGCGGUGAAAUGCGCAGAUAUCAGGAAGAACACCGGUGGCGAAGGCGGGUCUCUGGGCCAUUCCUGACGCUGAGGAGCGAAAGCGUGGGGAGCAAA